CGCGCACACGUACUGGAUGUUACAGAUCCCAGAAAAGAAUAAAAAGACAGCAAGAGAAAAAGAAAGCCUUACUCCUGCCUCGUUUGCCAUUUCCCUCCACCUCUCUUUUCUUCUUCUCCUCCUCGUCAAGGAGAGAGAAGAAGAAGAGUCGUCAGUGUACAGAUUGUUCUGUAGAUACAUGGACGAAGCACGAAGCCGUCUCUUUUGUUGUAUAAUCUAGGGUUUUCAGUUUUUCACCAUUCAAUUUUUACUUCUCCUGUUCUUGUUCCCGUCCGGUUUAAUGCACAUUGUCUCUAUACGGACGGCUUCAUUCAAGAUUGAUUCGUAUUUCACGGUUUCUCGUUGAAGUUCCGGUCUGAAGGUUUACGGGGCAGAGGAUUUUCGCACAGACUGAGUUCGGUGUCUCUCAGUUAAUUUAUAGGCACGUAGUUUAUUGUCUCAAUGGUAUGUUCACUUGAAAGUGGGAGGAUGGCGGUCAUGGCUAGACUUCUUGAAGCUGGAGGUUUCUCAAAGAACAUAUCAGAGGAGGUUGGACGUCAGAAACUAGCAGCUCAAUAUAUUUAUAAAGAAUUAUGUCUGGCAGAUGAAGCAAAUUUGCUUGAUGAAGAAGAUAUGCAUGUCUUUGGUUUGAAACCUAUGGCUGACCCUUUGAAGUUGGCUGUGAAAUGAACUGGUUGGAAAUGAUUUCCUGCUAAAAGUCCUGGUGUGAACAUGGUGAUUGGUUAUCAACGUGAUCUACUUAUUGUGAAUAUUUGACUUGCUUAAAGGCCACGACUGGUAUACCAAGGAGGGUAAUCUAAGGAAGUUUCACCCUACCUACAAUGGUUUUUACAAUAGCUUGAGCAGAGGAUUCCACUACUCUACCCAGGCAUGGAAAUCUAAUUCUUCUUUGACAGGGAGAAUAAACAUUACUCAAGCUGAGUGGUGUAUGCUGCAAUGCCUGUAAAAGGCCUGUUAAAGCCAGUCAGUAUGCAGCUCAUGCAGAACUUUGUAGAUCAUUAGAUACUGAAGAAGAAGCCAUUCUGGACAAUGAUGGCAGUACUGGGCACAGGAAGCCUCCAAGAAAGGAGAGAAAAAAGUUACUAUCUUCUUAUAAUACUACGCUAGUUGGUGAUCAAGAACAAUCCAGAUCAAUAAUUGGAGAUGAUACCACUUUCUCAGAAUCUCAAGUGGAUGGGCAUGUUGAAAAUGGUUCCUUCUCCAUCAAUGCAAAAAGUAUCUAAAUUAACGUGUUACUUUUUUCUUUUCUGAUCUCAUGCCUUUUUCCAUGUGGAGUUUCAGUGGUAGUCCACUCCUGUUUUAUUCUUCUGGCUGUUAAUUUUUGUUUUUUCUUUAUCAACAAUGGAUACUUCUAAGUAUGUUGGAGAAUAAUCUUUUAUAGGAUGUAAAUUUGCCUCAUCUAAGAUUGUUUAAGAUAGUUAUCAAUUUUUGCAGUGUGCUAUAGAACAGAAGAGAAAUGGCAAACACUUGGGUCAUGUUCAGACCCUGAAAAUAUUUUCCUUUUUUAUUCUGUUUUCUGAACUAUUUUUAAUUGUUAAACAAUACAAAAUGUGUUUAACUUCAAAAAACUGAAAAGACUUUUUUAGAAGUAAAGAUAUUGUCACUUAAGUGGGAAAUAGAGAAAGUUGUUGUCAUUUUUUUCAACUUGACCUGUUUGAAAAUCUUACUCUUCUAUUUUUUUGAAAGAAAAUUUUCGAAGAAUUGAACAUGAUUUUUUAUGGGUUUCUUGUUCCCUUGGUAAAUUUCCGGGUAAAUUCACAACUUUGCAUGAUUGCUUUUCCUCUUGACUUUAUUCUUUCCUCCAAAAGUCCCAACUGGCUCUGAAGUUUUGUUGUAGAUGGGAACAUUAAGAUUGUCUUAAUUAAAUUGUUAAUAAUCAUAUGAGCUUUAUGGAUUGGUCCUAUCUGGAUGGGAAUGGUUUUAAAUAUCUUAAAUUAUGAAGUAACUAGGAAUGUUAACUAUAUUUUGUCUUGGCGUGUAAUAUAGAGCAUAUUGGCAUUUUCCCCCAUUUAAGUGAGGAACUGAAAUAGGUUGGUGUUAGGAAGUAUAUAUUAUGUAGGAAAGUGUAUUUUUGUAUAAUCUGGGUAAAGAGUAUACUAGUGAAAUACUCAUACAUGCAACUGAUUGUAUAUUUCCUUUUAUUACCCUAAGAAUAUGUAUAUAUAGGACCCUCUAAUUCAAUAAUAAGAGAAGACAUUCUGUUCUUCCACAAGGCAUUAGAACUGUAGGAAAAAAUCGUAGCACUUUUUAUGAAUCCUAAUCAAAGACUUUGAUAAAUAGGGUAGAUAGAAGUAGAAUGGUAGAAAGUAUUGGCGUGUAACUUGGUAGGGGUGUUUGAAACUCAAGGACCUAGGAAGGUAUUUUGUAACAAGGUAAGUUUGCAGUUAGAGCAACUUCCCUUCAAAACAAUUUUGAAACUUGAGUUGUGAACAUAAGGGAUUGGACAACUUCCAAAAGAUGUCUAUUAUUCUUUUUGGCUAUAUUAUUUUGUUGAGGGUAUCAACACAUGACUUUGAUGAAUAAUGUCCUCUUUUUCAAAAUACGUACUCAAUUCUUUCUAAAGUUUUCUUUUGUUUUGUCUAUCUUUGGCAUUUGUAUUUUUGUUCAGAAUUGAGUUUGGACCAUAUUGUUGAAUUUUUUGAAUAUAUGACCAACUUUUGGUUUUUUUUUCAUAAGAAAUGACCAUGUAAUUUGUACAUGAUCAUCUACAAAGGAUAUAAAUCAUAUGGUAUUAGUAAUAUUGUUGUUUGUAGAUGGUCUCUUGACAUCACUAUGUAUUAUGAGAUAUAUAGUAUGAGUAUAUUUUGAUAAUUGACAUACUUUAUAAUGAUAGUUUUUCGUAUUUUUAUUUUUGAAUAAAGAGGAGAACAAUUUUUGAAGAUACACAAAGUUUGAGUGUGCUGAUCAAUAAUGCUAUAAUAUGAUUGUAUUAAAAUUGUCAAAGUAAGUUGAAAUAUCUUGAGACUCAAUAUAAUACUGUAUUAGGUGAUUUUCUCCUGAAAAAUUCAUUAUUCUUAAAGAGAAAGAGUCCGAAAUAUAACUUAGCAUUGCCAAUUGUCCUCCUUGAAUCCAAAUCCUAAGUUUUAACAACAUUUAGCAAUACAUUUAUGAUCUUGAGUAAAUUUGCUUAUUGAUAACAAGUUGCAAUCUAAAGUAGGUAUAUAAAGUAUUCCCUUUAAGGUUAACUCAUUGAUAUGGAGAUAUCACAUAUUUCAUACGCUAUUGAGUGAGACCCAUCCGCUAGUUUUACGGUGAGGUUCUCAUUACAUAAAUUAUAUUCUUGGAACAAUGUUUUGAUUUUCAACAUGUGGUCGAGUGCCAAUGAGUUAAUGAUCCAAGUAUUUUUUACUUUCUUAAAUGAUAUUAAGAGCGCUAAAAGGAAUUAUCUUUUUGGAUUAUUAUCCCAACUAUCUUAUGUUGUUAUUGAUAGAGUUUUAAUAUAGGAACAUUUUUGAAGGAUUUUUAUAUGCUUUUUGCUAAAUGGGUAUGAUUCUUUAGUGGAGACAACUUCAUUAAUAAAAGCACGAUUUCCCUUUAUUUGUCUGUGAUUGAUUUUAUUAUCUUCAAAUUAGCUGGUUUUUCAUGAAUUUUCUAACAAUUGUUUCGAGUAUGACUUGGUUUUCUGCAAUGAUCACUCCAAUGUGUUCCCUUUCUUUACCGAUUGUUAGAGUUGGGUUGAGUGCCCCUGGCAACAAGGUAGUGUUCUGUACUGGAAUGAGAUAAGCUCUAAAAACUUUACUCUCAGAUAUAAAUGUACUUAUUGCAUUUAGAAAAAGGAUGAGAGAAUGCAGACAGCAUCCGCUCCACUCAAUCUCAAACUUUGUAACAUUUGAAAAUGGUUUUUGUUUCAUAAAAACUUUCUGGUGAAUCUAAAAUAUUAUCCAUUCCUAAUAUACUGAGGUUCUAACCAUUAAGAAACAGUAAAAUGCUAAAAAAGUUGAAAUGCAGGCUUUGGUGAAUAAUGAAAUGUGGGAGGCGGCAAACCAAAGGGAAAAAACUAGUAGAGUGCAAAUGGAUAUUUAUGAUACAGUAUAAGCUUGAUAGAUCUAGAGAGAUACAAGGCAAGAUUGACGACCAAAGGAUAUAUACCAAAACUUAUGAGAUUGAUGCAUCGGAGAUAUUCGGACCACUAGCAAAAAUGAAUAGGAUACAUGUCCUAUCAUUCAUCACUACAAAUUUUAAUUGGCAGUUGCAACGGUUCAAUGUGAAGAAGUCCUUCAUGCAUAGAGAAUUAGAAAAAGAAAUUUAUAUGGAAAUCCCUUUGAAGUUUAUUAGAGGCAUAAAGGCAAAUCAAAUAUGCGAGCUAAAAAAGUCACUAUAUAAGCUCAAACAAUCUCCAGGGUAUGGCUUGGAAGAUUUGAAAGAGUUAUGCUAGUUAUGGGUUACAUGCAGAGUUGGGAAAAAAAUCAUACCCUGUUUAUUAAACAUUCUAAUUUAGGAGGAGUCACGACCCUUCUUUUGUAUGCAGAUGACAUAAUAGUGACAGGUAAUGAUGCAGGAGAGAGAAUAGUGCUCAAGACUAGAUAAUUUGAAAUCACAAAAUUAGAAAAGUUGAAGUAUAAUUUGAAAUCACAAAAUUAGAAAAGUUGAAGUACUUCCUUGGGAUAGAAGUUGCUUACUCUAACUAUAAGAUAUUUAUCUCACUAUAGAAGUAUGUCAAGACCUUUUGAAGGAGACUAUCAAGCUAGCAUGUAAACCUAUUGGUAUCACAAAGUGGAAUUGACAGAAGAAGACUCGAAUAUUAACAGGAAAA